CCGGAAGGAGAGAGACUUGGGACCAUUCUGCCUCCUCCUGUGCUGUUCUGUACAGGGCUGUGCUGGAGCCAUUGUCCAGGAGGGGAGUUGUCGGAGAGUGAGCAGGAGGGAAAUGAGGCCAAAUGAGCACUCUGUGAUCCCGACUUCCCACUCUAUAUUUGAUUCCAGAAUGAACUCACUUCUUCCUUCGAGACAAAGAGGGUCUUACCCAAGCCUCAUUCAAGAGAUUCACUAGGAGGGAAGAGUCCAGGAGGUGGCUGACCCUGCAAGAGUGGGAAAGGCAGCUCCCAACUGAACAGGAUCAGGGUGUGCUGCUUUGGACAGAAAGGGGUGUUGUUUCUCCUAGAAACAGAUAUGCAGUCCAU